rnacentral:rRNA from 1 species
CGGCUGCCUUAUUCAUGCAGUUCGAGCGGAGUUGAUAGAGAAGCUUGCUUUCCUCUGAUACGUUUAGCGGCGGACGGGUGAGUAACACGUAGGCAACCUGCCCUCAAGUUUGGGACAACUACCGGAAACGGUAGCUAAUACCGAAUAAUUGUUUUCUUCGCCUGAAGGAAACUGGAAAGACGGAGCAAUCUGUCACUUGGGGAUGGGCCUGCGGCGCAUUAGCUAGUUGGUGAGGUAACGGCUCACCAAGGCGACGAUGCGUAGCCGACCUGAGAGGGUGAUCGGCCACACUGGGACUGAGACACGGCCCAGACUCCUACGGGAGGCAGCAGUAGGGAAUCUUCCGCAAUGGGCGAAAGCCUGACGGAGCAAUGCCGCGUGAGUGAUGAAGGUUUUCGGAUCGUAAAGCUCUGUUGCCAGGGAAGAACGCUUGGGAGAGUAACUGCUCUCAAGGUGACGGUACCUGAGAAGAAAGCCCCGGCUAACUACGUGCCAGCAGCCGCGGUAAUACGUAGGGGGCAAGCGUUGUCCGGAAUUAUUGGGCGUAAAGCGCGCGCAGGCGG